ensembl:lncRNA
GGUCUUAGCAAAAGCCAGGGCAGCCUGUGCCCUGCUUUGUGGUCAGUCUACUCAAGGCAGCUGUUCUCUUGCUCUCUAUUCAGAUCCUGCUUGGCUAGUGCCUUCUUCAUCUACACUCUACUCGCAUGCCUGACCUUGCUAUGAACUUGCACCAGGUCUCAGGAACCCAUUAAGAAAGAAAGGAGAGAUUUUCAAGGUGAGAAACGAGAAAUGAUGAGGGGAAGAGGGUACCCUGUGGAGCAGACUGAAAAAAGAAAAUUGUUUCUGGAGUUAGCUGCUGUGGAGGUGUGUGAAAAGGAAAGAGUAACAGCACCAGGUCUCGAAGGCUGCACAACAAGACAUUCAGAUGUCUUGCAUUCACAUGUGAGAGUUGCUCCUAGCUCCCCUCUGGCGCAGUUCCUUCUGUUUCUAUAGCAAGCCCCCAGUAACUUUUUCUUAAAAAAUGAAACUUUCAGUUGAGCACUUGCAAGGCUGGCAAAUACCAGGUCACAGCUUCUGUAAUAACUGGCCUCACAUGUGUUGUUUUCCCCAACCUGACUUGGAGCAAGCAGAGAUCAUCACUUUACUUCUAAAUAGCCAUCAACCAAGCAGUUGGAAAGGUUACUCAUGGGUUGGGUUUGGGUUUUUGUUGUAUUUUUAUUUUUUGGUUUUGUUUUGUUUAAUGCACAGAGAGAUACACCCUGCCAU